rnacentral:lncRNA from 1 species
UCAGGAUAGUGUAGGCUGCGCUUCAACAACAAAACCCUAGAAAGCUCCAUAGCUUACAAACCGGAGGUUUAUUUCUUCCUUUGCUGUAUGUCCAUUGUGGGUUGGCUGUGGCUCUGUCUCAUGUCGUCUUUACUCUGGGCCCCAGGCUGGUGCCACAGGCCCUAGCUGGGGAUGAGGGGCGGGGAGGAAGGGGUGGGGGAGCAUCAUGAACCAUCCCUUGGCCCUUAAAAUUUCUGCUUGGAAGUGACACAAGGCUCUUCUACUCCAAUUCCAUUGGCCAAAGUCAAUCAUAUGGCUAAGUCUGCUGGCAGUGGGAGAGGGAAGGGACAAUCCUUCGCCAGGGAGCAGCAUGGACUAUUUGUGAAAAAUAGGACACACGUGGUCACCAAGAGAGGCAUCCCUCAAUUUCAUUGUAAAAUCACCUGCCUUAACUUACACAUAUUAACAGAGUCUUUAUUUGCUGUCUUAAGAAACAGAGGUAAAGUCAGGUCAGGUGAGGGGUUGAGCAAUAACAGAUUCAAAGUGCAGCAGGUGAUUGAGGUUAGAGGAAUGGAAUGGGCAGCAAGAUCAGGGAAGAAGGAGGAGCCUGAGUGUGGGGGCCCUUGGGCACUAGGGGGUCUGGAAUUCUUCUUUAGGCAGUGAGGUUUCUCGGAAGAUUUUAGAGUGUUGGGAGGCAUGCUCUUCCUGGGGAGAUCCUCAAAGGCAUUAUAAAGGAGGAAUUGAAGGCUGGGUACCCCUUGGAAACCUUGACCAGGAAAGUAACGAUGAAGAUCUGAUUUUAGAGCUCCUUUGGGAAAAAGGAGAUAGAGGUGGUUAAAGUCCAAAAUUUGACGUCAGUUUCAGACAGAUUUAAGUGCAAGAUCUGCCUUUGAAAUAGCAUAGCUAGGUGAUUCGCGGAAAGUUCCUCUGCCUCUCUAAACCUAUUUCCUUCCAUGGUUUGUCAUGGGGACCAAAUAGGGGAACAUAUGUAAAGUCUCAGCAAAAAGCGUUAUACCUAGAAAGACUGUCCACGCGGAAAAGCAGAGACACCGGAGAUCCAGAAUCAUAGGCUUUGGUGACUGCCUGUGAAGAGCGCGGAUGAGGGAGGAUUUGAAGAGAGUGCCGCAGGGGCUAGGGUGGGCAUGGUAACGCCAUUCAUCUAUACAGGAGCUGGUCAUGUUUGGAGGAGGACAGACACUGAGUCUGAGAUCCCAGGGAGACGUCCAUGGAGAAGGUUCCCAGCUGGGGCUUACAAAUGCGAGGUAGGCUCAGGAGCGGGGACUCCUGUGGUGAGUCAUUUGCUGGUUGUGUGGACAGAUGGUUCCUGAGGCUCUGCUGCAGAACAUACUUAAUUUUGUACAUUUGAGCACACCUGCAUACCCCCAAGAGCUGGGGAAGAGACUAUUCUCCAGGCUGAGGCUCCCUUAGGCCAGUGGCUCUCAAACUAGAGUGCACCAGCAUUACCUGGAGGGCUUUCUCAGUCUAUGGUUUCUGAUUAGGUGGGUCAGGGGUGUGCCCUGAGAGGCGGCAUUUCUAACGAGUUCCCAGGGGCUGCUGCUGCUGCUGUUGUCAGGAGACCACACUUCCAGAAGCACUCUCUUUGGCGGUUAGAGAACUUGGAAUGGAAGCACCUCCUCUCUGCACUGGGGCACGACAGCCCCCACGCGAAAGAGGACUUCCUAACCUGUUUUCCUUGCUCACAUGCUUCCCGCAUCGGAAAAACGAACAUGAUUCUAUGGCUCGGGGACAGACAGAAAGGCCAAUGGAAUGGAAUCAAGUGCCUAGAUGUUGACCCAAUAUACCUGGAAACUUGAGAUCGUAUAGAAGUAGCAUUGAUUGGGCUAAUGGAAGGUUUUCUGGUCUUUGAGCUAGCGUCUGGAAACCAUGCCCUAGCUCACAAUGAUGAUGCAGAAUGACAGUGUUUGUGUAUACCUGUUGCCCCAGCCUAAUUAUUAAUAGUGCUCUCAGAAGUGUUCCAGAUUGGAGGAUAAAUUAUGCCAAGUUCUACCUAUGUGCAUAUGGCACCUUCAUUCUCAAGAGUUCAGAAGAGCGCUUAAUGAACUGCGUCCUCCUCUCAGACCUCAUCCAUCUUGCUAGAUGACAGGGAAGCAUCCCUGACAGAACCAGCCACUGGACCCGGGCCUGCAGUUGGCCAGUCUCGAAGCUGGGGCUGGAACCGGGGUCUCCUCACUUCCUCCAAGUGUCUGUUCUUGUGCAGCCUCUGCCUUGUCUGAGUCUUAGAGUAGGCCUGGAAAAUGCUGACCCCGCAAACAGGAGCGAUUGCAUUAACACCAUUGAUCCUCGUGUCUAGAACAAGAUUUAGG